GAUGAGCGCUGGCGGCGUGCCUAAUACAUGCAAGUCGAGCGAACAGACGAGGAGCUUGCUCCUCUGACGUUAGCGGCGGACGGGUGAGUAACACGUGGAUAACCUACCUAUAAGACUGGGAUAACUUCGGGAAACCGGAGCUAAUACCGGAUAAUAUAUUGAACCGCAUGGUUCAAUAGUGAAAGACGGUUUUGCUGUCACUGAUAGAUGGAUCCGCGCCGCAUUAGCUAGUUGGUAAGGUAACGGCUUACCAAGGCAACGAUGCGUAGCCGACCUGAGAGGGUGAUCGGCCACACUGGAACUGAGACACGGUCCAGACUCCUACGGGAGGCAGCAGUAGGGAAUCUUCCGCAAUGGGCGAAAGCUUGACGGAGCAACGCCGCGUGAGUGAUGAAGGUCUUCGGAUCGUAAAACUCUGUUAUUAGGGAAGAACAAAUGUGUAAGUAACUAUGCACGUCUUGACGGUACCUAAUCAGAAAGCCACGGCUAACUACGUG
rnacentral:rRNA from 1 species